CUUCACCACAAUGGGCACCUAGAGGAGCUCUAUCUCAUGUUCAGUGAGACUUAUGAUUUGCAAAGGCAGCUUUUUAGCUUCUGGGUACCCCUGAGGUUGGCUUUGUUGAUUGACGUACAACGAGCAGGCUAGAGAGCCAAUUCUUCAACGAGGCUGCUUUGCCAGGAAGUACAAAAGAUUGCAGGAGAUUCAAAAACUGAGCCCAGAAACCUGAAAGUCAAAUUAGG